AUAAAACAAACAAUUUCAUUCAUGUAUAAACUAUACAAAACCUGGACAAAUUCGGGCUUUCCCGGGCAAAACUACCCUGAGAAAACCUAUCAUAAAGCCUAAACUAACUCAGCCUAUACACGACUCAAGAAAAAAUAAGCCUUCCUGACAACCCUGACAACGCCCAACCCCACUUCAUCUAGGAAGAUCAAACCCCUGAUCGAAGUCGGGAGGUCCGCUUGGGAGUCUGAAUUUCAACUUCCAGUCUCAAAUGUCGGACAUCUCGGACACUUGAGACUUCAGGUUUUGACCAUUUCAAUACAAUUCUAGGUGUAACUUGCAAGCAUUUCAUAGCUUUAAACAAACCAUUUUAAUAGUCUCUUGGAUAUUGAGACUUCAGGUUUUGUGUUCAAUCAUCAUCUUACUUGCACAUCAAUGGACUAGGUGCUUUUUGAGAAAGCAAAGCUUACAAUUGAGAGGGGAGAAAAUUGCCAUCACUGGUCCAGAUGGAUGUGAGAAGAGAGUACUUUGCUUAAAUUGAUUAUGGGUCUUGAGAAACCAAGAGGAGGUGAAAUUUUGAUUAGGUAGCACAAUGUCCUGCCAAAAUAUUUUGAGCAAAACUAUGCAGAAGCUCUUGAUUUGGAGAAAAUUGUGCUUCAAAUAGUAGUAGAAGUUGUAGAGGAUUGGAGAAUAGAUGAAAUAAGCGGGCUCUUGGGUCGUUGUAAUUUUAAAGCCAACAUGUUUGACAGAAAAGUUGCACUUUUGAGUGGUGAUGAGAAGGUAUGUGAAAUAUCUUCUACCAUGCUAUUUUUGGUUUUGCCUGUUUGGCUAUAUCAGGCUAUGUGGCUGCAUGGAAAGUUGUAUUGCUAUAAACAUUUGUAGCAUGGAAAAUGGACAUUCGUGUGCAUUUGUAGUCUAAAAACAUUAAAUAGACCGUUAAGUGUUUUAUUGGUAUUGUGCUGAUUAUUGUCUUGAUGAAUGUUAAAUGGGUGAAACAUGCACGCACAUGUUUAAUCAUUGA